AAACAAAACAAUGGGUUUCGGAUUUUAAGAACCAAAAAUCUUUAUAUGAAGAGAGGAUAUACAAGUUCACUUAAUUAAAUAAAAAAUGCUGCCAAUAACAUACUAUAAUGCAGGAAGCAUUUUCCUUGAAGAAAUCUGGGAGACAAAGCAACAAGGUGCUGAUUUGCAGGCAA